rnacentral:rRNA from 1 species
AUCAGAAUGAAGGGACUUAACCCCCGCAACCAACACCCAAAGCUGGCAUUCUACUAAAUUACACUCUGUAAAGUUUUAUCGAUGUGGUCUCAUCCCCACCUAAAACACAAGGAUCUGGUCCCAACCCUUAAACCAAUUACUACUUAACUUACACAUGCAAGUCUCAGCACACCCGUGAAAAAGCCCCUACCCACAAAGUAGGGAGCCGGUAUCAGGCACAAUAUUUGCCCAAGACACCUAGCCCCGCCACACCCACAAGGGCAUGCAGCAGUGAUUAAUAUUAAGCAUAAACGCCAGUUUGACUUAGUUAAAGUACUCAGAGCCGGCCAAUCCGGUGCCAGCCGCCGCGGUUACACCGUCGAGGCUCAAGUUGGUUUACUUCGGCGUAAAGCGUGGUUAAAGUUAUACUCCAUUAAGACUCAACUCAAGCUAAACUGUUUAAAGUCUUGCUUACAGGAAAAUCAUAAACGAAAGUUGUCUUAACCCCCCUCUCCUUGAACCCACGACAACUAGGACACAAACUGGGAUUAGAUACCCCACUAUGCCUAGUCGUAAACUUACUUACAACCCCCCC